AGAUUUCAGUUUUGAGAAUAUUGUUAUGGCGAACGGUUGUGUCGUAGCUUUCGGGUUCAAUCAUUCGGCUGAUGGUGGAAUCAGCCGAUUGAUCUGAUUCACGGAUACUACAAUGUGUAACUAUCCGCUCGGCAGCAUCUCACCGUCUAGAAUCUAGACAAAUAUACGACAGUUGUGAAGACGCGAUUAUGCGGCAGUUGAUCAGUAAUCAAACAGUCAACAUUGUUAAUACACACACUGCAGCAAAAAUAUUCCAGAUGGGGCUCUAAGAGAACAUCGAUAAUCUUGACGUUGAGUUGCACCACCAAGUAGGUGCAAUUUUCGUCAAAAUGGUUUCAAGUGUCAAAGAAUCAUUGAUUUGUACAUGUCAUAAUAACCAUUUUUAUUUGGCUACACUGAAAACGGAUUUGACAAAAGCGCAAGGAUGCAGUAUUGAGGUUUACGAUUCAAUGAUAAAUGAAACGCAUUUAACUGCAUCAGAGUUGUAUACUUAAAAGAUUCUAAAGCCAGGUACAGAAAGUCAUUAGUGAAACAGGACAUCUACUGGACUUGCCUGCGAAAAACGAAUGGCUGCUGAAAAAUGUGAAAUGUGCUCAACAGCGCGACAACCAUAACUGCGGCGUUUAUACAGCUACGUUCGCAGAAAAACUUAUAAAAGGCGUCAAGACACUCAGAACUCAGUUUAAUGCGGACGCAAAGAGAAGCCACCUUUUCGAAAUGCUCCAGAGAGCCAUGGAGAAUCAAAAGGUGUGCAUCAUUUGCUGCCGUGCACUUGAUGAUGAAAACGAAGCAGCAGCAGGAUGCGCGAAAUGCGGGGCGCCACUGGAUGACAAAUGUCUGCAAACCAGGUAUGGCGAGAGAUCCACCAGGAUCGAGAAUUGUCCGGCUUGCGAACCUUGAUUUGAUGGUAGAAGAAAAAAAGUUGAAAGAAAAAAAGAAUAAAUAAAUCGUAUAUGGACGAAUUGACAAUAAUUGCUUUUCUAUGAGUAGUUCAUUUUCAGUAGUCAUCCAAGGACAUUCACAGGAUCCUUCAUAUCCUGACCCCAUCACCCUUUGCGUUGUGGACGAAUAGUUGAUUUUUUAGAAUAAAUCAUUUAGUGGUCUUUAUAAGUUAUUUAUAAUAGGGCGUCUGUCCC